rnacentral:rRNA from 1 species
GAGUGGCGGACGGGUGAGUAACGCGUGGGUAACCUGCCCUGUACAGGGGGAUAACAGCUGGAAACGGCUGCUAAUACCGCAUAAGCCCACGGCUCGGCAUCGAGCAGAGGGAAAAGGAGCAAUCCGCUUUGAGAUGGCCUCGCGUCCGAUUAGCUAGUUGGUGAGGUAACGGCCCACCAAGGCAACGAUCGGUAGCCGGACUGAGAGGUUGAACGGCCACAUUGGGACUGAGACACGGCCCAGACUCCUACGGGAGGCAGCAGUGGGGAAUAUUGCACAAUGGGGGAAACCCUGAUGCAGCGACGCCGCGUGGAGGAAGAAGGUCUUCGGAUUGUAAACUCCUGUUGUUGAGGAAGAUAAUGACGGUACUCAACAAGGAAGUGACGGCUAACUACGUGCCAGCAGCCGCGGUAAAACGUAGGUCACAAGCGUUGUCCGGAAUUACUGGGUGUAAAGGGAGCGCAGGCGGGAAGACAAGUUGGAAGUGAAAUCUAUGGGCUCAACCCAUAAACUGCUUUCAAAACUGUUUUUCUUGAGUAGUGCAGAGGUAGGCGGAAUUCCCGGUGUAGCGGUGGAAUGCGUAGAUAUCGGGAGGAAC